UUCUGACCGUAAACGAUGCCAACUAGCGAUCCGCCGGCGGAUUUCAAACGCCCUGGUGGGGAGCUUCCCGGAAACGAUUGAGUCUUCCGGUUCCGGGGGAAGUAUGGUUGCAAAGCUGAAACUUAAAGGAAUUGACGGAAGGGCACCACCAGGAGUGGAGCCUGCGGCUUAAUUUGACUCAACACGGGAAAACUCACCCGGCCCGGACACCGCGAGGAUUGACAGAUUGAUAGCUCUUUCAUGAUUCGGUGGAUGGUGGUGCAUGGCCGUUCUUAGUUCGUGGAGUGAUUUGUCUGGUUUAUUCCGAUAACGAGCGAGACUCUAGCCUACUAACUAGUCCGCAUGUUCCUCAUGGAGGCAUGCUCCCUUUGGGACUUCUUAGAGGGAUUUUCGGCGUUUCAGCCGCACGAAACUGAGCAAUAACAGGUCUGUGAUGCCCUUAGAUGUCCGGGGCUGCACGCGCGCUACACUGGCGAAAUCAGCGUGCCUGUCCUCUCGCGAAAGCGACUGGUAAACCGGUGAAAAUUCGCCGUGCUUGGGAUCGGAAAUUGCAAUUAUUUUCCGUGAACGAGGAAUUCCAAGUAAGUGCGAGUCAUCAACUCGCGUUG
rnacentral:rRNA from 1 species